CCUACGGGUGGCAGCAGUAGGGAAUAUUGCUCAAUGGGGGAAACCCUGAAGCAGCAACGCCGCGUGGAGGAUGAAGGUUUUCGGAUUGUAAACUCCUUUUGUUAGAGAAGAUAAUGACGGUACCUCUUGAAUAAGCCACGGCUAACUACGUGCCAGCAGCCGCGGUAAUACGUAGGUGGCAAGCGUUGUCCGGAUUUACUGGGUGUAAAGGGCGUGCAGCCGGGAAGACAAGUCAGAUGUGAAAUCCCGCGGCUCAACCGCGGAACUGCAUUUGAACCUGUUUUUCUUGAGUACCGGAGAGGUCAUCGGAAUUCCUUGUGUAGCGGUGAAAUGCGUAGAUAUAAGGAAGAACACCAGUGGCGAAGGCGGAUGACUGGACGGCAACUGACGGUGAGGCGCGAAAGCGUGGGGAGCAAACAGGAUUAGAUACCCGUGUAGUC
rnacentral:rRNA from 1 species